GCCUUUGUGGUGUAGUGGUCAGCACACUCGACCCGUAACCGACAGGUCCGUGGUUCGAUUCUCGGCAAGGGCA
rnacentral:tRNA from 1 species